UAAAGAAAUCAUGAAGAAGAUGGCAGUACCUCUCAUGCUUUGUCUCGUUAUCUUGUCAAGUCUGCUUACCUUCGGUCAAGCUCAAGGGCCAUUCUGUACUGUGACUGAACAGUUUCCGGGAAAAUGUCCAUCUGAGAAUCUUGGUUGCUUCAUCGAGAUGUCAGGAAAGUAUGGUGCAAGUAGCAUGCUUCACGGAUGCCAUUGCACACAAUUUACGUCUGACCACACUUGCGCAUGUCAAGCGCUUUGCUCUCCUCCACUUUAGCCAUGUCAUCUUCCAACAAUGUAAUAAUUCGCCAAACACAUUGGCAAGAUUAAUAAUUGGUGGAUUUGUUCACCAUUUUUAUUUAAUAAUAUCGGUACUAAAAUUAUGUUUUGA